rnacentral:tRNA from 1 species
AUCCCUGUAGCGCAAUGGAUAGCGCGUUGUAAUUCUAAUCCAAAGUCGUGGGUUCGAAUCCCACCUGGGAUG